rnacentral:lncRNA from 1 species
GGACACCACCUGGGGCUGAACGGUGGAGGCCACCCCAGAGUCUCAGGUAGCCAGUCUUAUCAGCUCCCCGAACCUGGGAGGUUUGGGUUUCCUGGCAGAACUCUCCUCACCCUCCCCGAACCCCCAGCCUCCCUCCUCGGGGCUCCGGCAGGGCCGCGGGCAGGGGUCACCGAGGGACAGCCCCAGCGGCUUCUACCCCUUCCCAGCGGCAGGGGACUCGGGCUCCUGGCCCCUUCCCAGGCCGGCCACGCACGGAGUUCGAGAAGCCAGAGCCCCGCGGCUGCGCUCCUCGCUCCCCGUCCCGGCUGGGAGGUCGGGCUCCCCGGGGACAAGUCCCCGAGGGGAGGGGAGGGAGAGCCUCGGAGGGGUACCCGACCCCCUGCCCCCACCCCGCGCGNNNNNNNNNNNNNNNNNNNNNNNNNNNNNNNNNNNNNNNUGCCCGGAACGGGUCUGCCCGGAGCCGGUGGCCUGCGCCGCGGGACUGCCAGCUCUCCGGGGGGCGGCGCAGAGCGCACGGGACGGGACGCAGCGCGGGCCCGGGUUUCCGCAUCUGCGGCCCGGGGCGUGCGAGCAGGGGAACCUCGCGGCCUUUCCGCCACUACGCAUCGGGAAAGCCGGGCCGCACUUGACCCUCACGUGGGCGCCCUUGCAGUUUCUCGGGCCUCUCCCGGGUCUGAGCUCUCUUCUUCCGUNCGUUGCCACGUGAAAGGCAUUCUCCGUUCCUCUCUGCCCCUGAUUGGAGCCCGGCCUGUGGCUCUCUGCGCCGGGGUGGGGGCCCGGCGUCUCUUCCCGCUUCUCCAGCAGNUCUUCCGUUGCCACGUGAAAGGCCUUCUCCGUUCCUCUCUGCCCCUGAUUGGAGCCCGGCCUGUGGCUCUCUGCGCCGGGGUGGGGGCCCGGCGUCUCUUCCUGCUUCUCCAGCAGUUCUUUUCUGUCCCUUCCGGCUUCCUCCUUCUCCCUUCUCCCCCUACCCCCAACCUCAAAUCCCAGCCACUGUUUCCUGGAGUUUGCCGAGGGCCCCUGCGCUCAGCUCUUGUCCACCUGACGGGUGCCUGGGCAUCGGUCCUCUCCUGCUGUUACCUCCUGCUGCCAAGGGCCUCUCACUUGACCUCCCCCAGGUUCCUGGGUGUGGUUGGCUGGACGUCCGCCCCCCACCCCAGACUUCUCAGACUGUCUGCUCUCCUCAUCCCUCACACCCCCGUCCUGCAUGUCCUCAUUCCUUCCCUGCCUGUUAAUGGCACCACCACCUGCCUGGUCUGUACUGACGGGUCCAGGAAGUGCCAGGCUCUAUCCCCAGGAGUUAGAAUGAUGAAGACACUGACAAAAAAAAAAGAGAAACGUUAG